AGCGAACGCUGGCGGCAUGCCUAACACAUGCAAGUCUGACGGGCGGGGGCAACCUCUGUCAGUGGCGGACGGGUGAGGAACGCGUAGGAACGUAUCCAAGGGUGGGGGACAACCGCGGGAAACUGCGGCUAAUACCGCAUGGGGCCUUUAGGGAGACCUGAAAGGGGAGACCUGGGGCCAAAGGCUGGGGAGACCUAGUCGCCUGUGGAGCGGCCUGCGUCCGAUUAGCUAGUUGGUGGGGGACGGCUUACCAAGGCAGCGAUCGGUAGCUGGUCUGAGAGGAUGAUCAGCCACACUGGGACUGAGACACGGCCCAGACUCCUACGGGAGGCAGCAGUGGGGAUAUUGGACAAUGGGCGAAAGCCUGAUCCAGCAAU
rnacentral:rRNA from 1 species